CACGCUCGGAGCGCGUGCGCCCAGAGCGUUGACGGGGGCGAGUUGGGAGGUCAUCUGGGCCUCCUGGUAGCCUCCCUGAGUUCAACCAAUCCAGUGAGGAGAAGCCGUGGGCGGGGCGGCCUCGGCUGCCAGAGCGGCGUGAAAAAUUUCCCAAGGCAGAGCGAAAACCUUUCCUGAGCGACUGAGCAUGCCCGGUGGUGAAAGUAUAUUCCAUGCUUGGGGUGAAGACUUCUUUCUCUUGCUGGCCACGAAAAAGAAAGCACAAAGCUUCAGGACUGUUGGCUGCCAUCUUGGAGCUAUGAGGGGAACCAGCCUUAGAAUGAACCCAGAUGCUGAGGACAGUAGCACAGAGGAAUGGAAACAGCUUGCAUCUGUGAUGCCAUCUUUGAGCUGAUAACCAUACUGCAUCUGGAUCCGCAUUCAAUCUCUGGGUUUACAGUUACAGGAGGGUAUGUGGUUUAAACUCUCCACGGACUGACAAAAUCAGGUUUCUGACUCUGCAAAGCUAAGAAGACUCUGCUCCUGGAAGGCCUCUCCACUGACAGACUGAGUCAUAUUCGAAAUAUUUACCAACAGACUGAACAACUGAACAGAACAGACAACGUGCCUGGCUGUUACGCUGUCUAGGUGAAGGGAAGCCAAAUGACCAGCUCAAGGACCCAUGCUAGGUGGAACCACGAGGAGCACAGGACCCAGACCACAUGACUUCCAGCUUGCUGCAUUCCUCUUGGUCCAGUCAGAGCCUCCUUAGCUGUGGGCAGGCUGCUGGUCGUCGGAGAAGCUGCCUGCAGAGAUGCUGGGACACGCUUUUUAUGAACCAGGAAUCCAGGACAAAGGUAUACCUUGGGGAGAUUGCAAUUUUUGUUCCAGACCAUCACAAUAAAGGUCACCUCAAGAAGGAUUGGGAGAAAGUUAAAACAGCUGGGUGAGUCCAUUAACAACCAAUAAUCUGGGAAUGCUGCUGAAUGCUUUGAAACUGAAGUAGCAAUAACUCCCCACGGGUCCAUUAACCUGCAGCCAAAAUUAGAUUAUGUAGAAAUAACAUUAAAUAAAGAGCCACAGUCCUCAGUUAAUUGAAAGGCAAACUUGUGAAUUAUACGAUCAUUCUCUUUGAAAGGCAGAAUAUUCCAUCGCCCCAAGACCCUUGGGGCCAUUCUUGAGUGUCCGGCUUGAGGUUCAUUUUAGAGAAAACACAUUUCCUACAGGGACACUUUAGCAAUCUAUUCGUUGUAGAAAACAGUUUGAAAUGGGGAAAAUUAAGAGCUUUGGAAUGAGACCAAGGUAAGGCAGGUUUAAAUCUUGGAUCUGCCACAUCCUAGCUCUGGGACCUUAGGGAAGGUACUUAAUUCCUCUGAGUUCCAACCAUCUUGUCUGUUUACGAAGGAUGGUGGUGGUAGUAACAUGUAUCCCCCAGUCUUCUGAGUAAGGUUGGCAUGUAAAUAGAUCAUUGCUAUACAAAGAAGGGAGUACAUUGAAAGAGAGUAGUGUGGGAGCAUCCAGGGGACCAUCUCACCUGGCCAAGAUGAUUAAGAGAUGCCACCUGGGCUGAAUCAUGAAGAAUGAACAGGGGAAACUGGAUUAAGAGGUGGGCCACUAGUACUUGCCUUGGAAGUCACAUUUACUGGUACUAGGUCCCGAUUGCUGAAAACACAAGGAGAUGGAGGUCAGGUUACUGAUCAAACUCCCUCCUUUCUGCUCUCACUUCUUUCUAAGCUUCUGUAUUUACUUCCUUCUAUCCUUCCUACUAAAAUUCUCACGUUCCUUCUCAUCUUGGCUUCAGUGAAGCCCGAAGAAAACUGUCAGCAGCCAUUCUCUCGGGAUUGAGGGGAACAGAUCUUUUUGUCCUGUCUCUUCCUGGCGGCGCCAGUCCCUGCAGAGGACAGAACAUUGUCUCCAUUUCCCUCUGCCUCGGGCAGAUGGUGGAGAGUGCAGUGUAUUCCCACAAAGGAGCACGCUGUCCUUGCUCUAGAGUCUGUGGGCGAGUCCUACCACGGAAGGCAACCAGGACAAUUUGGAACUCUGCACCUGCCUUUUUAAAACACAGGAGCAUUCAUGACCCGCAAAAUCCCAUGGCUGACCCAUACCUGCAUGGGCCUGAGACACUAGGGACCGAGGUCUUAUGACAGGUGGCUCUGGGGAGUCACUGCACACUGAACACUGAUGGCGGUGGCAGGAGUGAUGCUCAUUAUCUCUAUUUUAUGGAUUAGGAAACUGAAGCUCAGAGAAGCUUGGUAAUGUUUUCCCAAAAUUACACAGCAAGAUUAGGCAGACAGAGGUGACAUGCCUGGUCUUCUGAAUCUAAAUCCAAUGCUCUUUCAUGAUGAUACCUUGUCCCUGUAUAUUCAUAAAUAUCUGGAUUUUGGGUAGAUAAACAACCUGGGAAUUUGAUUAUAUUUUUACUUCCUGGUUUUGGCUUUGCUUAUACCUAAAUUAAGAUCCAAUCUUUGCCAUGUAAAAUCUGCCCCGUCUUCUGUCAUUCUGUGUCUUCAGUGGGGGUACCACUCUCAUCCAAGAAAAAAGCCUGGUCAUCAUCUUAAACUCUACCUACUCCUCAAACCCACCCAAUCCUCUGCCCACCACUUACAACGCACCCCAGGUCCUGUAGAUUUGACUUUCCAAAUUCCUCCUGAGUGGUCCCUCCUCUCCUUUACCUCCCCCCAGGACACUGCCCUACCCCAGACUCUUUCUUGUCCAGUAAAGCACAACGACCUUCCAACGGGUUGCCUUUCUAACGAGUUUCCCCUCAACGAAUGCUCCAUUCAUCAGUGAGAUGAUCUUUCAACACCACAAUAAAUACUUUCAAUGACCAUUCAUUUCCUAAAAAAAGCAACUCUCUACAUAAGAACAUCUCUGAGCUAGGCAUGAUGCCACAGUCUGCACACAUCUCUAAUCCUUAAAAUAACUCUACAAAAGAAGUCUUGUUAUCCCAAUUUCACAGUUGGUAAGUAGCAGGUCAGGACCUCCAAUAAAGGGGGAUUUGACUGCUCAGCUGUGGUCUAUUCACUGUACCGCACCAGCUACCAGCUACCAGCUAAAAUCCAAUCUCCUUAGCAUCAAGUACAGCCUUGCCUCCUGCCACCAGAGCCCUCUCACGCCAUGUUCUCCAGACAUACCGCCCUUCCUGCAGUUCACCCAUCUCUCCAGGUGGUUUUGUAUUCCAUAGUUCCACACAUGCACUACCUCUUCCUGGAAGGCCUUUCUCUUUUCAACUGCCCUUCCAAACCUCACUCAGUGGGCAGCUAAGGUUCAAACUCAGGACAUUCUCACUCCAGUCUGUUCUCUUUCCCACUGUAGAGCCCUGCAUCCUUCCCACGUGGACAAUUUUUGAUUUGUUCUAGGUUAUAAUGCUGUAAUUGACAUGGAUGAGGAAAGGGAAACACCACUGGGGACUGUUUCACUGGGUAGUUAACGUAAAGGGAUAGGUCUUUGUUGGCUUCCUCUGGAAAAUUAUUUCAAGAUUUAGAUAGCUAGUGGGAAGCAGCCGCAUAGCACAGGGAGAUCAGCUCGGUGCUCUGUGACCAC